rnacentral:rRNA from 1 species
GAUGAACGCUGGCGGCGUGCCUAAUACAUGCAAGUCGAGCGAACAGACGAGGAGCUUGCUCCUCUGACGUUAGCGGCGGACGGGUGAGUAACACGUGGAUAACCUACCUAUAAGACUGGGAUAACUUCGGGAAACCGGAGCUAAUACCGGAUAAUAUAUUGAACCGCAUGGUUCAAUAGUGAAAGACGGUUUUGCUGUCACGUAUAGAUGGAUCCGCGCCGCAUUAGCUAGUUGGUAAGGUAACGGCUUACCAAGGCGACGAUGCGUAGCCGACCUGAGAGGGUGAUCGGCCACACUGGAACUGAGGCACGGUCCAGACUCCUACGGGAGGCAGCAGUAGGGAAUCUUCCGCAAUGGGCGAAAGCCUGACGGAGCAACGCCGCGUGAGUGAUGAAGGUCUUCGGAUCGUAAAACUCUGUUAUUAGGGAAGAACAAAUGUGUAAGUAACUAUGCACGUCUUGACGGUACCUAAUCAGAAAGCCACGGCUAACUACGUG